UACGAAGGGGGCUAGCGUUGCUCGGAAUCACUGGGCGUAAAGCGCACGUAGGCGGCUUUUUAAGUCAGGGGUGAAAUCCUGGAGCUCAACUCCAGAACUGCCUUUGAUACUGGGAAGCUUGAGUCCGGGAGAGGUGAGUGGAACUCCGAGUGUAGAGGUGAAAUUCGUAGAUAUUCGGAAGAACACCAGUGGCGAAGGCUGCUCACUGGCCCGGUACUGACGCUGAGGUGCGAAAGCGUGGGGAGCAAACAGG
rnacentral:rRNA from 1 species